AGAGUUUGAUCCUGGCUCAGAGUGAACGCUGGCGGCAGGCCUAACACAUGCAAGUCGAACGGCAGCACAGGGGAGCUUGCUCCCUGGGUGGCGAGUGGCGGACGGGUGAGGAAUACAUGGGAAUCUACCCUGUCGUGGGGGAUAACGUAGGGAAACUUACGCUAAUACCGCAUACGACCGAGAGGUGAAAGCGGCGGACCGCAAGGCGUCGCGCGACUGGAUGAGCCCAUGUCGGAUUAGCUAGUUGGCGGGGUAAAGGCCCACCAAGGCGACGAUCCGUAGCUGGUCUGAGAGGAUGAUCAGCCACACUGGAACUGAGACACGGUCCAGACUCCUACGGGAGGCAGCAGUGGGGAAUAUUGGACAAUGGGCGCAAGCCUGAUCCAGCCAUGCCGCGUGUGUGAAGAAGGCCUUCGGGUUGUAAAGCACUUUUGUCCGGAAAGAAAAGCUCUCGGUUAAUACCCGGGGGUCCUGACGGUACCGGAAGAAUAAGCACCGGCUAACUUCGUG
rnacentral:rRNA from 1 species